GAGUGAAGCGGCAACAGCUCAAAUUUGAAAUCUGGGCCCGAGUUGUAAUUUGUAGAGGAUACUUUUGAUGCGGUCCUUCCGAGUUCCCUGGAACGGGACGCCAUAGAGGGUGAGAGCCCCGUCUGGUUGGAUGCCAUCUCUGUAAAGUUCCUUCAACGAGUCGAGUAGUUUGGGAAUGCUGCUCUAAAUGGGAGGUAUAUGUCUUCUAAAGCUAAAUACCGGCCAGAGACCGAUAGCGCACAAGUAGAGUGAUCGAAAGAUGAAAAGCACUUUGAAAAGAGAGUUAAAAAGUACGUGAAAUUGUUGAAAGGGAAGCGUUUAUGACCAGACUUGGGCUUGGAAUCAUCUGGGGUUCUCCCCAGUGCACUUUCCAGUCAGGCCAGCAUCAGUUUUCCCCGGGGGAUAAGGCGGCGGGAAUGUGGCUCUGGGAGUGUUAUAGCCCACCGUAUACCCUGGGGGGGACUGAGGUUCGCGCAUCUGCAAGGAUGCUGGCGUAAUGGUCAUCAACGACCCGUCUUGAAACACGGACCAAGGAGUCGUCUUCGUAUGCGAGUGUUCGGGUGUCAAACCCCUACGCGUAAUGAAAGUGAACGCAGGUGAGAGCGGCGCAUCAUCGACCGAUCCUGAUGUUCUCGGAUGGAUUUGAGUAAGAGCAUACGGGGCCGGACCCGAAAGAAGGUGAACUAUGCCUGUAUAGGGUGAAGCCAGAGGAAACUCUGGUG
rnacentral:rRNA from 1 species